GGUUAGGAAUUACGAAAUUACAAGCCUUGAUCCCGAGUGUACAAGCCAGAAGGUUGCAUAGGCUGGCACAAUGUUCUGAUGACACCUUAAGGGCGGUUUUGCUGGAGGAAAACAUCACGCAGAUAUAUGAGAAGCUGUGGAUAUCAGCUGGAGGAGAUAAAGAUAAAAUACCGAAUAUCUAUCUGGGCACCCAAACCAACGGUGGAAACAGUGAUGCUGGGUGAAGAAGAGACAUCAGAAUGGGAGAGUAACAUACCAAAGAACAACUACCCGCGGCCUUGUAACUGGAAGAAAAGGGAAUUCCAGAAAUGGACUCAAUUACUCAAUUCUGGGACUUUCCAGCAGCUCCCUGGAGUCAGAGCUGGAGCGGUGUCUGCAGGAGGAGAGGGAGUGGUGCCAGGAACAGGAUGAGACCAGAGCUCGGGAGCGAGCACUGUUGGAAACCUGGAAAACGCAGAGGCUCACUGGAGGCGGGUCGAGGACCAUCUCCGCCUGCAGUGGGACCAGAUGGUUGCUCUCCAGGAGGUGCAAAGAUGGCAAAAAUCCCUCCGGGAUCAGCAGGAUGAACAGAUCCACCAUCUGGAGAUGGAGUGACGCCACCUCCACAAUGACACCCAGGAGCCCAAAGACAACAUCCCCGUGUUCUGCCGCGUGGGGUCCGUGCUGCCGGAGGAGUCGGAGCGGCAGCGGGGGCUGCACCACCUGCACUUCUCCCCACGGAACUCCACAACACUCAUUGUCACCCAG